GUAGCCGCAGUCAUCCAACAGCGGUGGCGGGCUGCCUCAAGCCCAGCUGAUAGAGUUGUAGUAGUACAAAAACCGUUGUGCUCGGAUCGGAUGUAACGGAGGAAAGGGUGAGGAAGCGAACCGGUCACGUCUUACAUUCCCACUAACCUCGAGACUUUCAUUCUCGGCCAACCAGUUUGGCUGCAGCAUACCUACCUAACUUCGCGCCCGCUUGCCAUACACAACACUAUUGAUCCAUCAUGGGCGGUUGGAGAUUUUGAAUGUUGCAUAAAGCGAUGCUGGGAAUUUUAUUACUUCCUAGUUGUUAGUUGGACGAGGGAACCUGCGCGCAUUCGCCAUAAAUAAACAAGACCCACUUCACGACUUGUAACACAACAACUUAUUGAGUGUGGAAAUGUUCUGCCGUAGGGCCCCGUCUCCAGUUCUUACCGCUAGCCGCUCUACGCUGUUUGCAUCAAUGAUCCUUUGAAAAGUGGCCCACAUAAACAACGAUCGCGUCGGUACAUGAGUCUCUCCACAAAGCUGACCCAUUCAUUACGAGCAAGGCACUUUAGGGUGUGAUCUUGUGUUCUUGAAUUUCUUAAUGUAUUAGAAUCUUUUGUUUAUGGAAUAUAAAUAAAAAGGUUGAUGAUU